rnacentral:rRNA from 1 species
UACGAAGGGGGCUAGCGUUGCUCGGAAUCACUGGGCGUAAAGGGUGCGUAGGCGGGUUCUUAAGUUAGAGGUGAAAGCCUGGAGCUCAACUCCAGAACUGCCUUUAAUACUGGGAAUCUUGAGUUCGGAAGAGGUGAGUGGAACUGCGAGUGUAGAGGUGAAAUUCGUAGAUAUUCGCAAGAACACCAGUGGCGAAGGCGGCUCACUGGUCCGAUACUGACGCUGAGGCACGAAAGCGUGGGGAGCAAGCAGG